AGCCUGAUGCAGCGACGCCGCUUGAGGGAUGACGGCCUUCGGGUUGUAAACCUCUUUCAGUAGGGAGAAGCGAAAGUGACGGUACCUGCAGAAGAAGCACCGGCUAACUACGUGCCAGCAGCCGCGGUAAUACGUAGGGUGCGAGCGUUAUCCGGAAUUAUUGGGCGUAAAGAGCUCGUAGGCGGUUUGUCGCGUCUGUCGUGAAAGUCCGGGGCUUAACCCCGGAUCUGCGGUGGGUACGGGCAGACUAGAGUGCAGUAGGGGAGACUGGAAUUCCUGGUGUAGCGGUGGAAUGCGCAGAUAUCAGGAGGAACACCGAUGGCGAAGGCAGGUCUCUGGGCUGUAACUGACGCUGAGGAGCGAAAGCAUGGGGAGCGAACAGGAUUAGAUACCCUGGUAGUCCAUGCCGUAAACGUUGGGCACUAGGUGUGGGGACCAUUCCACGGUUUCCGCGCCGCAGCUAACGCAUUAAGUGCCCCGCCUGGGGAGUACGGCCGCAAGGCUAAAACUCAAAGGAAUUGACGGGGGCCCGCACAAGCGGCGGAGCAUGCGGAUUAAUUCGAUGCAACGCGAAGAACCUUACCAAGGCUUGACAUGUUCUCGAUCGCCGUAGAGAUACGGUUUCCCCUUUGGGGCGGGUUCACAGGUGGUGCAUGGUUGUCGUCAGCUCGUGUCGUGAGAUGUUGGGUUAAGUCCCGCAACGAGCGCAACCCUCGUUCCAUGUUGCCAGCACGUCGUGGUGGGGACUCAUGGGAGACUGCCGGGGUCAACUCGGAGGAAGGUGAGGACGACGUCAAAUCAUCAUGCCCCUUAUGUCUUGGGCUUCACGCAUGCUACAAUGGCCGGUACAAUGGGUUGCGAUACUGUGAGGUGGAGCUAAUCCCAAAAAGCCGGUCUCAGUUCGGAUUGGGGUCUGCAACUCGACCCCAUGAAGUCGGAGUCGCUAGUAAUCGCAGAUCAGCAACGCUGCGGUGAAUACGUUCCCGGGCCUUGUACACACCGCCCGUCAAGUCACGAAAGUUGGUAACACCCGAAGCCGGUGGCCUAACCC
rnacentral:rRNA from 1 species